GGCUGUGCUAGUGGUCAAAGGCAGCACUUCUAAUGCUGAGGUCCCAGGUUUGAAUCCUGGUCUAGUCA
rnacentral:tRNA from 1 species